rnacentral:rRNA from 1 species
UGCAAGUCGAACGGCAGCACGGAGCUUGCUCUGGUGGCGAGCGGCGGACGGGUGAGUAAUGCCUAGGAAUCUGCCUGGUAGUGGGGGAUAACGUUCGGAAACGGACGCUAAUACCGCAUACGUCCUACGGGAGAAAGCAGGGGACCUUCGGGCCUUGCGCUAUCAGAUGAGCCUAGGUCGGAUUAGCUAGUUGGUGAGGUAAUGGCUCACCAAGGCGACGAUCCGUAACUGGUCUGAGAGGAUGAUCAGUCACACUGGAACUGAGACACGGUCCAGACUCCUACGGGAGGCAGCAGUGGGGAAUUUUGGACAAUGGGGGCAACCCUGAUCCAGCAAUGCCGCGUGAGUGAAGAAGGCCUUCGGGUUGUAAAGCUCUUUUGUCAGGGAAGAAAAGGGUCUGGCUAAUAUCUGGACCUCAUGACGGUACCUGAAGAAUAAGCACCGGCUAACUACGUGCCAGCAGCCGCGGUAAUACGUAGGGUGCAAGCGUUAAUCGGAAUUACUGGGCGUAAAGCGUGCGCAGGCGGUUUUGUAAGACUGUCGUGAAAUCCCCGGGCUCAACCUGGGAAUGGCGAUGGUGACUGCAAGGCUAGAGUUUGGCAGAGGGGGGUAGAAUUCCACGUGUAGCAGUGAAAUGCGUAGAUAUGUGGAGGAACACCGAUGGCGAAGGCAGCCCCCUGGGUCAAAACUGACGCUCAUGCACGAAAGCGUGGGGAGCAAACAGGAUUAGAUACCCUGGUAGUCCACGCCCUAAACGAUGUCAACUGGUUGUUGGGUCUUCAUUGACUCAGUAACGAAGCUAACGCGUGAAGU